GGUUUCGUGGAGUAGUGGUUAGCACAUCUGCUUUACACGUAGAAGGUCUCCAGUUCGACCCCGGGCGAAACCU